ACGGGUGAGUAACACGUGAGCAACCUGCCCUGGACUCUGGGAUAAGCGCUGGAAACGGUGUCUAAUACUGGAUAUGAGCUCUCACUGCAUGGUGGGGGUUGGAAAGAUUUUUCGGUCUGGGAUGGGCUCGCGGCCUAUCAGCUUGUUGGUGAGGUAAUGGCUCACCAAGGCGUCGACGGGUAGCCGGCCUGAGAGGGUGACCGGCCACACUGGGACUGAGACACGGCCCAGACUCCUACGGGAGGCAGCAGUGGGGAAUAUUGCACAAUGGGCGGAAGCCUGAUGCAGCAACGCCGCGUGAGGGAUGACGGCCUUCGGGUUGUAAACCUCUUUUAGCAAGGAAGAAGCGAAAGUGACGGUACUUGCAGAAAAAGCGCCGGCUAACUACGUGCCAGCAGCCGCGGUAAUACGUAGGGCGCAAGCGUUAUCCGGAAUUAUUGGGCGUAAAGAGCUCGUAGGCGGUUUGUCGCGUCUGCUGUGAAAUCCCGAGGCUCAACCUCGGGCCUGCAGUGGGUACGGGCAGACUAGAGUGCGGUAGGGGAGAUUGGAAUUCCUGGUGUAGCGGUGGAAUGCGCAGA
rnacentral:rRNA from 2 species